UACGUAAGUGGCAAGCGAUACUCGGAAUCACUAGGCGUAAAGCGCAGGUAGGCGGUUUGGUAAGUCUUUUGUGAAAGCUCCCGGCUUAACUGGGAGAGGCCAAAGGAAACUACCAGACUAGAGUGUGGCAGAGGAAGCUGGAAUUCCCGGUGUAGCGGUGAAAUGCGUAGAUAUCGUGAGGAACACCUAUGGCGAAAGCAGGCUUCUGGGCCAUCACUGACGCUGAUCUGCGAAAGCUAGGGGAGCAAACAGG
rnacentral:rRNA from 1 species